GUCUAUGGCCAUGCCACCCUGAACAAGCCCGAUCCUGUCUGAUCUCAGAAGUUAAGCAGGGUCGGGCCUGGUUAGUACUUGGAUGGGAGAUCACCUAGGAAGACCAUGUGCUGAAGGUG
rnacentral:rRNA from 1 species